CCUACGGGAGGCAGCAGUAGGGAAUCUUCCACAAUGGGCGAAAGCCUGAUGGAGCAACGCCGCGUGGGUGAAGAAGGUCUUCGGAUCGUAAAACCCUGUUGUUAGAGAAGAAAGUGCGUGAGAGUAACUGUUCACGUUUCGACGGUAUCUAACCAGAAAGCCACGGCUAACUACGUGCCAGCAGCCGCGGUAAUACGUAGGUGGCAAGCGUUAUCCGGAUUUAUUGGGCGUAAAGGGAACGCAGGCGGUCUGUUAAGUCUGAUGUGAAAGCCUUCGGCUUAACCGGAGUAGUGCUUUGGACACUGGGCGACUUGAGUGCAGAAGAGGAGAGUGGAACUCCAUGUGUAGCGGUGAAAUGCGUAGAUAUAAGGAAGAACACCAGUGGCGAAGGCGGCUCUCUGGACUGUAACUGACGCUGAGGUUCGAAAGCGUGGGUAGCAAACAGGAUUAGAUACCCGAGUAGUC
rnacentral:rRNA from 1 species